CGUAGGGGCAAGCGUUGUUCGGAUUUACUGGGGCGUAAAGGGCGCGUAGGCGGCGUGACAAGUCACUUGUGAAAUCUCCGGGCUUAACUCGGAACUGCCAAGUGAUACUGUCGUGCUAGGGUGCAGAAGGGGCAAUCGGAAUUCUUGGUGUAGCGGUGAAAUGUGUAGAUAUCAAGAGGAACACCUGAGGUGAAGACGGGUUGCUGGGCUGACACUGACGCUGAGGCGCGAAAGCUAGGGUAGCAAACGGGAUU
rnacentral:rRNA from 1 species